rnacentral:rRNA from 1 species
CCUACGGGUGGCUGCAGUCGAGAAUCAUUCACAAUGGGGGAAACCCUGAUGGUGCGACGCCGCGUGGGGGAAUGAAGUUCUUCGGAUUGUAAACCCCUGUCAUGUGGGAGCAAAUUAAAAAGAUAGUACCACAAGAGGAAGAGACGGCUAACUCUGUGCCAGCAGCCGCGUGAAUACAGAGGUCUCAAGCGUUGUUCGGAAUCACUGGGCGUAAAGCGUGCGUAGGCUGUUUCGUAAGUCGUGUGUGAAAGGCGCGGGCUCAACCCGCGGACGGCACAUGAUACUGGGAGACUAGAGUAAGGGAGGGGGAACCGGAAUUCUCGGUGUAGCAGUGAAAUGCGUAGAUAUCGAGAGGAACACUCGUGGCGAAGGCGGGUUCCUGGACAUUAACUGACGCUGAGGCACGAAGGCCAGGGGAGCGAAAGGGAUUAGAUACCCUAGUAGUC